CCUACGGGGGGCUGCAGUGGGGAAUAUUGGACAAUGGGGGGAACCCUGAUCCAGCCAUGCCGCGUGUGUGAAGAAGGCCCUCGGGUUGUAAAGCACUUUCAGUGAGGAAGAACGCCUGGUGGUUAAUACCCAUCAGGAAAGACAUCACUCACAGAAGAAGCACCGGCUAACUCCGUGCCAGCAGCCGCGGUAAUACGGAGGGUGCGAGCGUUAAUCGGAAUUACUGGGCGUAAAGCGCGCGUAGGUGGCUUGAUAAGCCGGUUGUGAAAGCCCCGGGCUCAACCUGGGAACGGCAUCCGGAACUGUCAAGCUAGAGUGCAGGAGAGGAAGGUAGAAUUCCCGGUGUAGCGGUGAAAUGCGUAGAGAUCGGGAGGAAUACCAGUGGCGAAGGCGGUCUUCUGGACUGACACUGACACUGAGGUGCGAAAGCGUGGGUAGCAAACAGGAUUAGAUACCCCAGUAGUC
rnacentral:rRNA from 1 species